UCUGCAGUCUUUGCCACAAUGGUGGUUUUAA
rnacentral:piRNA from 1 species